rnacentral:lncRNA from 1 species
CAAGGCAAGGCCUUGGAGGUGAAAACAAAUUGAAGAAGAAAGAAACGCUCCCGUGUCCUGCUUAAUGGCCACAGAUAAUUUUAAGCUUGAGCAAAGAACCAGGCCUCCCAACACAAUGGAAAGAAAGGAGGCACCGUGUGAAGGGAAGAUGGCAUACGUGGCACAGACCUCCACCUCUGCUCACCACCACAGAAGGCCACUCCUGCAUGGGCAGGUGACGGCAGCGUCAGGAAGGGAAAUCAGAUUUACUUAGGUUGUUAGUCAUUAUUAAUUGCAAUAGUCUUGUGCCUUCAUUUAAAAAAAGACGACCAAAAAAUAAAAAC